CCCUCGUAGCUCAGUGGCUUGUCUGUCAUUCGCAUCCCACACAUCAAGGGUUCAAAGGCUGGUAGAUGAUGAUGAUGGAUGUACGCUAAUUAAUUAUUGAUCAGCACAGGUAUUCUAAAAUACCUUUUUUAAAAAAAAAUUAAGUAUUUUUGAGAUAUUAUAAUGAAAUGAGAAGAAAGAAGCUUACAAGGAUAGAUGAAAAAAGGAGACCCCCACUAAGAUGUCUAUUGCAUUUAUACCAUCCCAUGACCAUUAUUACGGUG
rnacentral:lncRNA from 1 species